AUGACGUCAAGUCCUCAUGGCCUUAUGCCCAGGGCGUACACACGUGCUACAAUGGGCGGUACAAAGAGAAGCAACCUCGUGAGAGUGAGCAAAUCUCAAAAAGCCGUUCUCAGUUCGGAUUGAAGUCUGCAACUCGACUUCAUGAAGUCGGAAUCGCUAGUAAUCGCGGAUCAGCAUGCCGCGGUGAAUACGUUCCCGGGCCUU
rnacentral:rRNA from 1 species